rnacentral:rRNA from 1 species
AACAAACGCUGGCGGCGUGCCUAACACAUGCAAGUCGUACGAGAAAGUCGGCUUCGGCCGAUGAGUACAGUGGCGCACGGGUGAGUAACGCGUGGGUAAUCUGCCCCCCGGUCAGGAAUAACCCGCCGAAAGGCGGGCUAAUACCCGAUAACACUGACGCUCUGCGGAGUGUCUUUCAAAGAAGGCCUCUGUUUACAAGCUUUCGCCGGAGGAUGAGCCCGCGUACCAUUAGCUAGUUGGCAGGGUAAUGGCCUACCAAGGCAACGAUGGUUAGCUGGUCUGAGAGGAUGGCCAGCCACACUGGAACUGAGACACGGUCCAGACUCCUACGGGAGGCAGCAGUGAGGAAUCUUGCGCAAUGGGGGAAACCCUGACGCAGCAACGCCGCGUGAGUGAAGAAGGCCUUCGGGUCGUAAAGCUCUGUCAGAUGGGAAGAAAUGGAUGGGGGCUAAUAUCGUCCAUCCUUGACGGUACCAUCAGAGGAAGCACCGGCUAACUCCGUGCCAGCCGCCGCCGUAACAC